GCCCGAAUAGAAAUAAAUGUGUGAUAGUGACAAUCGCAUCGGAAACAGAUCCAACUGCCAUCCAAGUUUUAUUGAAGUCAAUGGCGGUGUGCAUUGUGUUUGUGCGAAAGAAAAAAAAAUAACGGAUUAUAAUGCAUAAAUAUCAACCUCAUACCUGUAACGGUUAUAUUGAAAGCACAGAACAGGCACGAGUGUGAGCUCCCUCGGAUGAUCUGUUGACACUGUUUAUACACAUGCAUAGGUGCGCUGGUUCGCAUGUAUGUGAGACCUGAUCAAGUGUUGCAUUUUGCAUCGAGUGUGGAUCGAGGAGUUGAGCUACCGGGAAACAGUACGCCUUUACGCCAUGCGGAUGUGGUUGAGCAGCGAAAAAACGCUUGCGAAGGAACAUGCAGCACCAUCGAAAUCUGCGAAGAGGCACUGAUGAUAAUAACAUAAUUUCAAUAUAAUAUGGUAUGUAAAUAAUAAUUAUAUAAGAUGGUAAAUUAAAUAUAAAUAAAACUUGUUUGAUGAUCA